CAAGAAGCGGUGGCCAUCUUGGAUCAGGGCAAACCUUCCAGAGACAUAAACAUAUGAAGUAAUCACUGCAAACAUCAGUAACAAAGUAAAGUUGUAUCUAUAUUAUUGGUGUAUCCUUUUAAAGGGGUACUGCGCCCCCAGACAUCUAGGGGAUAAGAUGUCUGAUCGUGAGGGUCCCACCACUGAAACCCCCGUGAUCUCUAUGCAGCGGAGGAGUUAGUAAAAGGUCACUGGCCAUACUGGCAGUACCAUGGAUGCUAAGAAAGCUAAUCAAGAUAUUGUCCCUGUUAGAUGAGUGGAUGAGCGUUGGGACUGUGAUGAGGAAGAGGAUCAUGUGGAGGUGAAGGACCUGGCUGUGUUGGCAGUGGUAAUAGUGGCACUGGUAGCCACCAACGUAAGGGGUAUUCCAGGAUUUUUUUCUUCUUCAACCUUUGAGCCCAUUAUACCAAGUUAUACUGUGUAAUAUGCUUCUAUUACCUGCUUGCACCACCAUGUCCUUUGUCCAUGCACAGGACGAGAG